rnacentral:lncRNA from 10 species
GCUAAGAGAUGAGUACAACUCUUUGCCAGCCACUAUGGAAGAAAGCCAAGAGAAAAACGGCAGUUCCUGCUUUCAAAGAGCUUACUGGCUGGUGGCUGGAAGGAGACGAGUACAAAGAUUGAUAAGUUCUCUGACACAGAAAGAUAAUACCAAGAUGUUGGAAUAGUACACUGUCUGGUUCCCUCUCCAAAGACCAACUCCUAUAGGAAAUAUAAAGAAAAAAAGCCAAGAAAUAAGAAAACCCGAAAACUCCCAGGGAAGAAAGUGGGG